rnacentral:rRNA from 1 species
UACGUAAGGGGCAAGCGUUGUCCGGAAUCACUGGGCGUAAAGCGCGCGUAGGCGGUUUGGUAAGUCGGGUGUGAAAUCCCCGGGCUCAACCCGGGAACUGCGCUCGAAACUGCCUCACUGGAGGAACGGAGAGGUGCACGGAAUUCCCGGUGUAGGGGUGAAAUCCAUAGAGAUCGGGAGGAACACCAAUGGCGAAGGCAGUGCACUGGACGUUUCCUGACGCUGAGGUGCGAAAGCGUGGGUAGCGAACGGG